rnacentral:rRNA from 1 species
UACGUAGGGUGCAAGCGUUGUCCGGAAUUAUUGGGCGUAAAGAGCUCGUAGGCGGUCUGUCACGUCGGCUGUGAAAACCCGAGGCUCAACCUCGGGCCUGCAGUCGAUACGGGCAGACUAGAGUUCGGUAGGGGAGACUGGAAUUCCUGGUGUAGCGGUGGAAUGCGCAGAUAUCAGGAGGAACACCGGUGGCGAAGGCGGGUCUCUGGGCAGUAACUGACGCUGAGGAGCGAAAGCGUGGGGAGCGAACAGG